AUUGAACGCUGGCGGAAUGCUUUACACAUGCAAGUCGAACGGCAGCACGGGGGCAACCCUGGUGGCGAGUGGCGAACGGGUGAGUAAUACAUCGGAACGUGCCCAGUCGUGGGGGAUAACGUAGCGAAAGUUACGCUAAUACCGCAUACGAUCUACGGAUGAAAGCGGGGGACCGUAAGGCCUCGCGCGAUUGGAGCGGCCGAUGUCAGAUUCGGUAGUUGGUGAGGUAAAGGCUCACCAAGCCGACGAUCUGUAGCUGGUCUGAGAGGACGACCAGCCACACUGGGACUGAGACACGGCCCAGACUCCUACGGGAGGCAGCAGUGGGAAUUUUGGACAAUGGGCGCAAGCCUGAUCCAGCCAUUCCGCGUGCAGGACGAAGGCCUUCGGGUUGUAAACUGCUUUUGUACGGAACGAAAAGGCUCUGGUUAAUACCCGGGGCUCAUGACGGUACCGUAAGAAUAAGCACCGGCUAACUACGUGCCAGCCGCCGCGGUAA
rnacentral:rRNA from 1 species